AUGAAUGGCUAAACUGAUUUUGGUGUUAGAAUUAUUUAUACUGUGUAUUCAGCCUUGAGAGGCUAGGUUGCGAUAAAUUGUCAUGUCAUGCUAGAAUGAAUUUUAUUGAUUGAUGGAUUAUAUAUUAAUUAUUUACUGCAGAGGGGGUUUCGUGGACCAGCCUAUUAGAGGGGCACGGUAAACUCCAUUAUAUUAUUACCUCGAACGGAGAGGCGCGUAAGGUAUCUUUAUUGGGUGAAGCUUAGGGUUCACUUCACGCCAAACCACCACGUGAAGGGGAACUCAGCCAAAGCCAAGAAACGGCUGUAUUUUUCUCAAACUAAAUAUAUUUUAAGUGUAUACAAAAUUUUAACAGCCUUGGCGGGCUCGGUUGGAUGCCCUGCGCAAGGUAUCACCGAGUAUGAGUUUUGACACGAGUCAAAAUUUUAAGAAAUUCAUAAGCCAAGUUGAUUACUCGAUUUUUAUGGAUUGAUUUUAUUUGGUUGAAAUGAGUUGAAAGGUAAUGAAAUUACAGUAUGAUGAUUUAUUUUAAUUGUCUCCAUUUACUCGAUAUUAGAUAGUUUAGAUGGUAUCUGUUUACUCACUUGGAUUUUAUAAUCUCACCACCCUCAUUUCCUCACAUUUCAAGCUCGGGGAAUUUCAUAGUUAGCUGACUUUGACAAGGACCUUCAUUUGGACUCGAAUCGGUAAAAGCUGUAGGUUUCCAGCUUCCGAUGCAUUUUGGAUAGAUGUGGGCCCACGUGUCACUGUAAAAAAAAUUUUAUGCUUUGGUUAUUUUCUUUAUAGUAUAUAUGAAUAUAAUUAUCUUUUACGCUAUAAGAAUUAUGUACCGAUAGUUUUAUGAAAAU
rnacentral:lncRNA from 1 species